rnacentral:rRNA from 1 species
GCAUAACGCGAAGAACCUUACCCACCUUUGACAUGUACGGAAUCCUUUAGAGAUAGAGGAGUGCUCGAAAGAGAGCCGUAACACAGGUGCUGCAUGGCUGUCGUCAGCUCGUGUCGUGAGAUGUUGGGUUAAGUCCCGCAACGAGCGCAACCCUUGCCAUUAGUUGCUACAUUUAGUUGAGCACUCUAAUGGGACUGCCGGUGACAAACCGGAGGAAGGUGGGGAUGACGUCAAGUCCUCAUGGCCCUUAUAGGUGGGGCUACACACGUCAUACAAUGGCUGGUACAAAGGGUUGCCAACCCGCGAGGGGGAGCUAAUCCCAUAGAGCCAGUCGUAGUCCGGAUCGCAGUCUGCAACUCGACUGCGUGAAGUCGGAAUCGCUAGUAAUCGUGGAUCAGAAUGUCACGGUGAAUAC